CACGGUUUUUUCUAAGACUGAUGCUUUACUGUCAAGUUACAAUGGUAAUGGAAGCAUGUUGUCCUUGGGACUUGGCAGAUACUCUUAAAAGAAACCAGCUUGAAAAGGGUGUAACUUUCCCUUUGGAGAAGGUCAUGGCAACUGGGAGAGGCUCCUGAAGUCUGAAAGAGAGCAAAUGUUACCCCUAAAUUCAAGAAGGGCAAUAGGAAGAAGACCUGGGUGACUAUGGUCCAAGCAGCCUCACUGCAGUCUCUGGAAAGCUGAUGGAGAAAACACUCCUGGAAACCAUUUCCAAACACACAGAAGACAAGAAUGUGCUUAUGAACAGUCAGCAUGGAUUUCCGAAGCACGGAUCACGCUUUACUACCCUGUUAAACUCCUAUGAUGAGGUGAAUCAGAAAAAUGGAGCACAAAGUCCUGCCCCUGGGGAAGAACUAUAUAAGGCACAAGGACAUGCUGGGAACAUCCAGCUGGAAAAGCAGCUUGGCAGAAAAAAAGGACCUGGAGGUGGACAGCAAGAUGGCCAACAGACAGCAAUGUGCCCUUGCUGCAUAGAAGGGUAAUGGUGUUCUGGGCUGCAUUAGUAGGACCAAUUGUAGUCUUAACCUGGGGAAAAUAAGGAAACCUUAAAGAAAACAGGGAGAUGGGUAGCCUUGAGAUAGCAGAAGCAAGGGAGAUAAAGGA